AAAAAUGAAGAUAUUCUUAACUUCCUUGCUGUGGGAACAUGAUUAAGUUACACUAAUCCUGACUUCCAGAAGAAAUGUAAUGACAUUUACAUUGUAAAUAUGAAGAGUAUCUGGGAAAAGCAUCUGCUGGCAGGUUGGGCCAUUGCUGAAAAUGGAAUCAAGCUGAAAUCAGUGUCAUAUCCUCUUAAAACAUUGGCUAGAAUCUUGUACUGAAGUUGGUACUUGCACUUCACUUCUAGAACAUUAACCAACCAAAUCCAGGCAAAGAAGGUUCUUAGCUUAGUCUUCCUACCACUGUUUUAAGUAACACAGAUCUAUAUAUUAUUUGGAAGUUGCCAUACUGCACAAUAAGGAAGCUCACUCGGUGGGUCAAAUAUGGUUGAUGCUGGCCUAGGAAGUCUUCCCUAUCUACGGCAUAAUUUUCUGUGAACAUGUAUAGAAGGAAUGCCUGAUCUCUACUUAUAUAGAGAUCAUAUCUGUACUUAGAUAGAGGUCUACAAGAGAUUGAAAAGGAAGAACAGAUUCCUGCUGUUAAGGCUGUGUUCUGGAGUGGUUUUAGGAUGAAUGCACCACUCUAAAUGCUAUAUUUUCUACUGUUCAACCAAUAUUGCAUAUUGGUAUAAAGGUGUGCAGAUAUCCUAUAUGCUUUUUUGGUAAUUUGCUACUGAAGACUGGAGUGCUCAG
rnacentral:lncRNA from 1 species